GACGAACGCUGGCGGCGUGCUUAACACAUGCCAGUCGAACGGAAAGGCCCUGCUUUUGUGGGGUGCUCGAGUGGCGAACGGGUGAGUAACACGUGAGUAACCUGCCCUUGACUUUGGGAUAACUUCAGGAAACUGGGGCUAAUACCGGAUAGGAGCUCCUGCUGCAUGGUGGGGGUUGGAAAGUUUCGGCGGUUGGGGAUGGACUCGCGGCUUAUCAGCUUGUUGGUGGGGUAGUGGCUUACCAAGGCUUUGAAGGGUAGCCGGCCUGAGAGGGUGACCGGCCACAUUGGGACUGAGAUACGGCCCAGACUCCUACGGGAGGCAGCAGUGGGGAAUAUUGCACAAUGGGCGGAAGCCUGAUGCAGCAACGCCGCGUGCGGGAUGACGGCCUUCGGGUUGUAAACCGCUUUCGCCUGUGACGAAGCGUGAGUGACGGUAAUGGGUAAAGAAGCACCGGCUAACUACGUG
rnacentral:rRNA from 1 species